CGGUGCGAUCAUACCAGCACUAAUGCAUCAGAUCCCAUCAGAACUUCGCAGCAAAGCGUGCUUGGGCGAGAGUAGUACUAGGAUGGUUGACCUCCUUGGAAUUCCUCAUGUUGCACCCC
rnacentral:rRNA from 1 species